rnacentral:rRNA from 1 species
UACGGGGGGAGCAAGCGUUGUUCGGAUUUACUGGGCGUAAAGGGCGCGUAGGCGGCCAGCACAAGUCAGUUGUGAAAUCUCCGAGCUUAACUCGGAAAGGUCAACUGAUACUGUGCGGCUAGAGUGCGGAAGGGGCAACUGGAAUUCUUGGUGUAGCGGUGAAAUGCGUAGAUAUCAAGAGGAACACCUGCGGCGAAGGCGGGUUGCUGGGCCGACACUGACACUGAGGCGCGAAAGCCAGGGGAGCGAACGGG